ensembl:ncRNA F42A9.15 ncRNA
GUAUAAUUUUGGAAACAAGUGUAAAAUUAGGAGUUUUUUCAGUUAGCGGAGGUUAACAAUUUUCGCUUUUUUUCGAAAAAAUAAAUGUUUAG